CUACGGGAGGCAGCAGUGAGGAAUUUUGCGCAAUGGGGGAAACCCUGACGCAGCAACGCCGCGUGAGCGAAGAAGGCCCUCGGGUCGUAAAGCUCUGUCGAGUGGGAAAAAAAUUUUUUGAUCAAUAGCUAAAAGACUUGAUGGUACCUAUGGAGGAAGCACCGGCUAACUCCGUGCCAGCAGCCGCGGUAAUACGGAGGGUGCGAGCGUUGUUCGGAUUUACUGGGCGUAAAGAGCGUGUAGGCGGUUUAGCAAGUCAGAUGUGAAAGCCCUGGGCUCAACCUGGGAAGUGCAUUUGAUACUGGUUGACUAGAGUGUGGGAGAGGAGAGUGGAAUUCCUGGUGUAGAGGUGAAAUGCGUAGAUAUCAGGAGGAACACCCGUGGCGAAGGCGAUUCUCUGGACCAAUACUGACGCUGAGACGCGAAAGCGUGGGGAGCAAACAGGAUUAGAUACCCCUGUAGUC
rnacentral:rRNA from 1 species